UGAGUGGCGAACUGGUGAGUAACACGUGGGAAACCUGCCCAGAAGCGGGGGAUAACACCUGGAAACAGAUGCUAAUACCGCAUAACAACUUGGACCGCAUGGUCCGAGUUUGAAAGAUGGCUUCGGCUAUCACUUUUGGAUGGUCCCGCGGCGUAUUAGCUAGAUGGUGRGGUAACGGCUCACCAUGGCAAUGAUACGUAGCCGACCUGAGAGGGUAAUCGGCCACAUUGGGACUGAGACACGGCCCAAACUCCUACGGGAGGCAGCAGUAGGGAAUCUUCCACAAUGGACGAAAGUCUGAUGGAGCAACGCCGCGUGAGUGAAGAAGGGUUUCGGCUCGUAAAACUCUGUUGUUAAAGAAGAACAUAUCUGAGAGUAACUGUUCAGGUAUUGACGGUAUUUAACCAGAAAGCCACGGCUAACUACGUGCCAGCAGCCGCGGUAAUACGUAGGUGGCAAGCGUUGUCCGGAUUUAUUGGGCGUAAAGCGAGCGCAGGCGGUUUUUUAAGUCUGAUGUGAAAGCCUUCGGCUCAACCGAAGAAGUGCAUCGGAAACUGGGAAACUUGAGUGCAGAAGAGGACAGUGGAACUCCAUGUGUAGCGGUGAAAUGCGUAGAUAUAUGGAAGAACACCAGUGGCGAAGGCGGCUGUCUGGUCUGUAACUGACGCUGAGGCUCGAAAGUAUGGGUAGCAAACAGGAUUAGAUACCCUGGUAGUCCAUACCGUAAACGAUGAAUGCUAAGUGUUGGAGGGUUUCCGCCCUUCAGUGCUGCAGCUAACGCAUUAAGCAUUCCGCCUGGGGAGUACGGCCGCAAGGCUGAAACUCAAAGGAAUUGACGGGGGCCCGCACAAGCGGUGGAGCAUGUGGUUUAAUUCGAAGCUACGCGAAGAACCUUACCAGGUCUUGACAUACUAUGCAAAUCUAAGAGAUUAGACGUUCCCUUCGGGGACAUGGAUACAGGUGGUGCAUGGUUGUCGUCAGCUCGUGUCGUGAGAUGUUGGGUUAAGUCCCGCAACGAGCGCAACCCUUAUUAUCAGUUGCCAGCAUUAAGUUGGGCACUCUGGUGAGACUGCCGGUGACAAACCGGAGGAAGGUGGGGAUGACGUCAAAUCAUCAUGCCCCUUAUGACCUGGGCUACACACGUGCUACAAUGGAUGGUACAACGAGUUGCGAACUCGCGAGAGUAAGCUAAUCUCUUAAAGCCAUUCUCAGUUCGGAUUGUAGGCUGCAACUCGCCUACAUGAAGUCGGAAUCGCUAGUAAUCGCGGAUCAGCAUGCCGCGGUGAAUACGUUCCCGGGCCUUGUACACACCGCCCGUCACACCAUGAGAGUUUGUAACACCCAAAGUCGGUGGGGUA
rnacentral:rRNA from 1 species